rnacentral:rRNA from 1 species
AUGCAAAGCAAGUAUGCGGAGAAGCGGUACCUUUUACUAACCCGGGUUCGGAGUUCCCCAGGGGCUUUUGCGGAUUUACCACGCAGUGUAUCGGACGCCGUGGAGUUCUAUCGAGCCGAAGGAGGGAGUUCGAUGGAAAAGCUAUCCCGGUCGCGAUAUGCGGCGCCAGAACCUCCCGUGUCCUUCACCGAUCAACUGAAACAGCUGGUGGAGCUGCAUAGGGUGGCCGAACUAGCCAUGAAGGAUUUGAUAAUCCGGCUAUGGUCAGCCGAAGCUAUGCUUGGUAGCUACUUCGGACUCAUGAGGCGGAUGGUGAACGCCUGUCCUCGGCUGGACGUCGUCAAGCGCUCUGCCUGUAUUGAAGGUGCCCGCAUGGCCUUCGCCUGUCGCAAGAUGUGGUGGGCGAAGAUGAACGCCGUUGAAGUGGCCAGAGGGCCGCCGGAGGGCAAGGAGCACCGCAUACCCGAGCGGUAUUUUGCGGAUGUCAUAGAAGGGUCUCGACUUGCAGCAGCUGAGUGCGGGCAGGACAUUAUUUUCGAAUGA